UUUUAGAAAUACAAGCAUAAUAUACACAAAUGUUUGAUCUUAAAAAAAAAAUUAGAAAGAUGAAAGUUCAUUAUUGUGACAAUCAUGCUGCUGAUCAUGAGUUGAUACUCAUUUUAAAAUCACAACAUAGAAUGCUAAAAUCAUAGAAAUAUAAAAUGGCUUGCAAUACCGAAAAUCGAGGGAAUAAACUUUUACAAAUGGGAAUAAUUAUUUUAAAAAUCUGAAGAAAAAAAAAAGGUAUAGGCAACCAUGUUUCUGCACUGCCCACUUCCGCUAAAUCACAAUCCACACAUGCACAUAAUCUUUAUUUGUAACCUAUAGAAGGCAGAGUACUCUACUGAGAGAUGAAUAGGCCUGUUAUUGGCGCAUCCAGUAAACAAUCUUUUCGAGGGCUUUUCCGUGUGAUUUUAAAACGGUUGCAGCGACUUCUGCGAGUUGCACCUGUUUCCAGGAGCAGAAGAUCUGCUUGUCGUUUUAGUGGAAAAUAAUUUUCCUUCAUAAAGUGAAUUGCCAGCAGUUGUUGAGCUGCCUAAGCGAGCCAGCUGUGUAAAUGAACAAGUGCUCGCGCUGACUUCCUUCUUCACUAACCCCCCAACAAAAAGGUACUGGAGAACUGUUUGCUGGAGGGGGUUAGACGUUUAUUCUCAUUAGAUUCAGGACCUCAAAUGAACUAACGUCAUGACGAGAGGCAGACUCCAGACAUCAUAUCGGCUCUUGAUAGGACCUGUCUGGCCCACAAAAGAGAAAGGAUAUGGGUGAAGAUUAGAGAGGCGGGGUUGGCAGACCUCAGCUACUACAGCGUCAGCGUGACCCGGCACAAGAGAAUUCCCUUCAUCUCCUCCAUCUAAAACACUCACCACACACGCCGCUACCUGGUAGAGCCAUCUGUUUUGAUUGGUCAAAAGCUGCACUUUACAGUAAUGUAUCAGUUUAACUCCACAGAGUGUGAUAGCCAAGGGCAACAGUUAUUUUUGAACUUCAGUCAGUAGAACUUUCUGUGCUCAAAAUCAACUCAGCGGCACCUCUGAAAUGAACCACACGACGACAUUUAAAUUUCCAUGGAUCCUCUGCCAGAGUGAUGAGCCAGCAAACGAUACAGAGGACUACUUCCUGUCUCCACUAGCUUCCUGCAAAUACUCACUCAUAUUGUGACUGCCGUGUGGUUUAAUGCUCAGUAAUGGAGAGAACAUCCCACUGGUGCAGGUUACCAGUUCUCAGUGGCUCUGGGAGGGGAGAAGAACAGAGAUGAUUUACACAGCUCAUCCCUCAGACACCGCCAGCAGUGAGUCACAAAAUCUUUGCUCGUAUGAGUCAGUGGAACAAGGUCGCCGCUCAUCCAGACGAGCGAAUGUGGAAAGCGACCAGGAAGAGAAACAAACAACGGAGCAAGUUGUCCUCCGAUAACUAUCCAUAAAACAUUUUCCAUCUGAACAGGGCGUGUUUAUGUUUAUCUAAGAUAAAAUGGGGGAAGCUUUAAAAGGUUAGAUAGAUGUAGGCAAUGGAGGGCAAUAGUCGGAAAAUCCCAUUCGUUUUGUCUAUAGAGAAAUAGCUUUUUAAUGAUA